rnacentral:RNase_P_RNA from 1 species
ACAGUGGGUUGCUUCAUCGUCCCGAUGUACAUCGGGAAGGAAAGUCCGGGCAACAAAGGGUUCUGUACUUUCGAAAGAAAGAUGUUCGUGAGGGCAUAGUAGCGGAACAGAAAAUAACCGUCCCGAUGUACAUCGGGAUAAGGGUGAAAAGGUGAGGUAAGAGCUCACCGGAUGAAAAGGUGACUUUUCAUGCCGUUCGUCUUACAGGUUGCAAGGCCAAAUAUACCGACAAUUAAGAGCGACCCGUUCAAUGUCGGGGGGUAGGUUGCAUAGAUAAAUGAUGAAGGUCCCGAUGUACUUCGGGAUACAGAACCUGGCUUAUAAACUCACUGCUAUA